rnacentral:rRNA from 1 species
GCAGGGAAUCUUCCACAAUGGGCGAAAGCCUGAUGGAGCGACACCGCGUGGGGGAUGAAGGCCUUAGGGUCGUAAACCCCUUUUCUCAGGGAAGAGCAAGGACGGUACCUGAGGAAUAAGCAUCGGCUAACUACGUGCCAGCAGCCGCGGUAAUACGUGGGAUGCAAGCGUUGUCCGGAAUUACUGGGCGUAAAGGGUCCGUAGGCGGUUUGGUAAGUCUCCUGUGAAAACUUCGGGCUUAACCCGAAGAGGUCGGGGGAUACUGCUGAACUUGAGACUGUCAGAGGCAAGCGGAAUUCCCGGUGUAGUGGUGAAAUGCGUAGAUAUCGGGAGGAACUCCAGUGGCGAAAGCGGCUUGCUGGGACAGUUCUGACGCUGAGGGACGAAAGCGUGGGUAGCAAACCGG